rnacentral:rRNA from 1 species
UACGUAGGUGGCAAGCGUUGUCCGGAAUUAUUGGGCGUAAAGCGCGCGCAGGCGGCCUUUUAAGUCUGAUGUGAAAGCCCACGGCUCAACCGUGGAGGGUCAUUGGAAACUGGGGGACUUGAGUGCAGAAGAGGAAAGCGGAAUUCCACGUGUAGCGGUGAAAUGCGUAGAGAUGUGGAGGAACACCAGUGGCGAAGGCGGCUUUCUGGUCUGUAACUGACGCUGAGGCGCGAAAGCGUGGGGAGCAAACAGG